AUGGCGACCUCGCCGCCGCGGAGCCCUAACUCAGGCGAUCGGCCAGAUACCGCUGACCUCGCUCUCGCCGCUCCGGCACAGCCCGCUCGCAUAUGGAACUCCCUCGUCGCCCGCCUCCCUACGCUACCGAACUCCCUCCUCCUCGUCGCCGCCUCCGAUCUCCUCCGCCGCCUCUUGGCGGUCCGCAGACGACGCCGCCGCCGCCGCCGCCCUGCUCUCCCACUCCCCAUCUACGAUGACGCCGCAAGCUCCGCCCGGGUUUCUGGUGAGAUGCCCAAAGCUUUUGCCAUCUUAGAAGAUAUCGUGCAGCAUACUUUGUCUGAUUUGCAUAGCAUUCAGAAGAGCUUACUUUAUUGGAAGUCCAAAGCUGAGGGAACAAACUCACAUAAAAUGUACUUUAUGAUGUUUGAAAGAGGUCCAAGGGCCUUCCUUGAAGCAACAUGUCAAACACUAACUAGACUCAGGAGCAAUGGGAGUCCAUCCGAGUACCUUUUAGGCUCUGCAUCUGAUAUAGUCUCAGUAAAACUUGCUGUCCUGACGAAUAUGCAACAUCGAUUGGCUGCUUUUCUGGCUGAGGUUUACUCUGAAGUUGAUAAAUGCAGAGAAGGAUUAACUGAAAGUUCAGAUAAAUCACUACAUACACUAUUUCUUAUUUUGAACACCGUCUUCCCCAAACUGGAGGUAUCGCUUACAAAUGCUAGUGAGGGGCAAACUCUAUCAUUCACUCAUGACGAAAACUCAUCUCAACUUAUCUUCGAAAGAUUGCCAGAGGUUGAUGUUGAGAGUCCACAAUGGAGUGAGGCCUUAGCAACAGAUGCUAUUAGUCUGAUCUAUCAAAACCUCCAGAAGUUAGAUAGUUUUAUUUCCUCUCAGCUUUCAAGUCAUAAAAAGCCAAGAAAUAUGACCAUAUACUGGUUACCCUACACGUGUGGAGCAAUUGGCCUCUCUGCAUGUUCCCUAUGGCUUUUGCGCCAUAGUAGCUUGAUGGGAAGUUCUGACAUGGACAACUGGAUUCAAGAUGCUAAGGAGUCAGUUGCUGGAUUCUGGGAUGAACAUGUUGAGAGACCAAUAAUUUCUAUUAGAGAUGAGCUAUUCGAGACAUUCAAGCGAACAGAUAAACGUGUAAUGGAAAGGGAAGAGGUUCAGCUAACAGAAGAAUCAUUGCACAGGAUGUUAAUUACCUUUUGUGAGCAAACUUCAAAGGAAAAACCGGCACAAGAUGCAUCAUUGCAGGAGUUGCUGGAGAUUGUCAUGAAAAGAUAUGAGAAGGAAUCAAUGCAUCCAAUUCAGAAUCUGUUCAGUGGAGAAUUAGCACGUGCCAUGCUUAUUCAGGUUCAGAAGCUAAAACUGGAUCUUCAGGAGGCAAUGCUGGAACUGGAUCAGAUUCUCAAGGCAAAUGAGAUAAACUUUGCUAUUCUUGCAGCUCUGCCUGCAUUUGGUCUUCUGCUUCUCCUGCUGUUUUUAGUGCGAGCAUGGGCUAUGCAUGACCAAGGUGCAGAGGGAAGAGGAAGGAUUGCACGUCAUCAGCGGUGGCAGCUACUCAUAGAAGUAGAGCGAAGGCUUAAAGAGUUCAAGAAAUGCAUGAUUAAUGAGAUGGAUGAGGAGGCGAGCUGUAAAUUCGGAUUGACUCUGUACACCCUUGAUAGAUUAUACAAAGCUGUUGAGGUGCAUGCGAAGGAAACAGGCGAGUGGUCAAGUUUGAGAGAUGACAUGUUCAAUCUGGCAAAGCCUAAUGUCGGAGUGGCGGACAAGCUGGAUGUUCUUAAAGGGCUCAAGUGGAACUACGCCUGCUUACGUCCAUCGCUGUCAUGA
rnacentral:rRNA from 1 species